rnacentral:rRNA from 1 species
AAAGGUAAGCUACUAAGAGCGAAUGGUGGAUGCCUUGACUGGUAAAGGCGAUGAAGGACGUACUAGACUGCGAUAAGCUACGGGGAGCUGUCAAGAAGCUUUGAUCCGUAGAUUUCCGAAUGGGGCAACCCAAUGUAUAGAGAUAUACAUUACCUAUAUAGGAGCGAACGAGGGGAAUUGAAACAUCUUAGUACCCUCAGGAAAAGAAAUCAAUAGAGAUUGCGUCAGUAGCGGCGAGCGAAAGCGUAAGAGGGCAAACCCAGUGCUUGCACUGGGGGUUGUAGGACUGCAAUGUGCAAGAGGUGAGUUUAGCAGAACAUUCUGGAAAGUAUAGCCAUAGAGGGUGAUAGUCCCGUAUGCGAAAAACAAACCUUAGCUAGCAGUAUCCUGAGUAGGGCGGGACACGAGAAAUCCUGUCUGAAGCUGGGUCGACCACGAUCCAACCCUAAAUACUAAUACCAGAUCGAUAGUGCACAAGUACCG